CACCGUCUGUUUGAACCCAAGUGCCUUGAUGCAUUCCCAAACCUGAAGGACUUCAUGUCCCGCUUUGAGGGCCUGAGGAAGAUCUCUGACUACAUGAAGUCUAGCCGCUUCCUCUCCAGGCCUAUUUUUGCAAAGAUGGCCCAUUGGUAUAAAAAACAGUAAACUGUCAUGCCAAGGUUAAAUGUGGAUCCAAGGUUGCCCCUGCUGUUCUGGGUCCUGGGGCACAACUAACUCUCAGCACCCUGGCAUCUGUCUUCUCAUUCCCUUCUUCUUCUUUCCACAACCUUCUCCUCUGCAAGGCCUCAUUGCCUUCCUUUUCUCCUAAUCAACCCCUUGUCUAGGUAAAUCCACUGUAAGUUACAGCUCCCCUUCCUUAUCCCUAUCCUAAAUCCAACCAGACAGUCCUCAGCUCUGCUUUUAGGAGCAUGACUGAGUCCAUGCUCCCCUGCACUGCCCCAAACUCCAGUACUACCUGGUGAGCUGGCUCUGGUCCCCAGCAUGGCAGCUGCCCAGCCCUGUCUGACCCCAAUAAAGUCUGGACCACACUU